UACGUAGGCAGCAAGCGUUGUUCGGAAUUACUGGGCGUAAAGCGUGCGUAGACGGUAGCGUAAGUCAGAUGUGAAAGCCCCGGGCUCAACCUGGGAAUUGCAUUUGAGACUGCUCUGCUCGGGUGCGGAAGAGGGAAGCGGAAUUUCCGGUGUAGCGGUGAAAUGCGUAGAUAUCGGAAGGAACACCAGUGGCGAAAGCGGCUUCCUGGUCCGACACCGACGUUCAGGCACGAAAGCGUGGGGAGCAAACAGG
rnacentral:rRNA from 1 species